CCUACGGGAGGCAGCAGUAGGGAAUUUUCCACAAUGGGCGAAAGCCUGAUGGAGCAACGCCGCGUGGGUGAAGAAGGUCUUCGGAUCGUAAAACCCUGUUGUUAGAGAAGAAAGUGCGUGAGCGUAACUGUUCACGUUUCGACGGUAUCUAACCAGAAAGCCCCGUCUAACUACGUGCCAGCAGCCGCGGUAGUACGUAGGUGGCAAGCGUUAUCCGGAUUUAUUGGGCGUAAGGGGAACGCAGGCGGUCUUGUAAGUCUGAUGUGAAAGCCUUGGGCUUAACCGGAGGAGUGCAUUGGAAACUGGGAGACUGGAGUGCAGAAGAGGAGAGUGGAACUCCAUGUGUAGCGGUGAAAUGCGUAGAUAUAUGGAAGAACACCAGUGGCGAAAGCGGCUCUCUGGUCUGUAACUGACGCUGAGGUUCGAAAGCGUGGGUAGCAAACAGGAUUAGAUACCCGAGUAGUC
rnacentral:rRNA from 1 species